rnacentral:tRNA from 1 species
GGGGUUUAAUAAAUGUUUUUCUUUUGCACAGAGAGACUUGGCAUAUGCCGACCU